rnacentral:rRNA from 1 species
GAAAGAUGAAAAGAACUUUGAAAAGAGAGUUAAACAGUACGUGAAAUUGUUGAAAGGGAAACGAUUGAAGUCAGUCAUACCAACGGGAAAUCAACCUUUUGAGCUUGGUCUCGUGGGUUUUGAAGAGUUUCAAAGCCUUCGGAUUCGCGAGAUUGGGAUCUCUUGGUGUACUUUUUCGUACGGUUAGUCAACAUCGGUUUUGAAUGUCAUAAAAUGACUGGAGGAAUGUAGCUUCGAUCUCGUAUUGAAGUGUUAUA